CUUCAUUACCCAUUCAAGCCAUCUCCAACCAUUAUUAAAAGAGGUUUGUUGGUUUUUAUUGUAUAUUAAACCUGGCAGUCAAGAAUUAGAUGGUGAAAAUUACAAUUAUCAUACCUGCCUCAUCUACAACAGUGUCAUCCCAGUUGUUCUCGCAUGUUUAGAUUACAUUUUAUUAUAAAUUAGUUUAUUUUCAGUAUAUUUGUGGUAUUGUGUGUUGAAGUAGAUAUUUAAAUCAUGAUUGUAUAAAUCAUUUGUGUCAAAGCCCUUAAACAUAAUGGGUAGGUACACAUUAUGUAUAAAUCAUUUGUGUGAACAAAGCCCUUAAACAUAAUGGUUAGGUACACAUUAUGUAUAAAUCAUUUGUGUGAACAAAGCCCUUAAACAUAAUGGGUAGGUACACAUUAUGUAUAAAUCAUUUGUGUGACCAAAGCCCUUAAACAUAAUGGUUAGGUACACAUUAUGUAUAAAUCAUUUGUGUGAACAAAGCCCUUAAACAUAAUGGGUAGGUACACAUUAUGUAUAAAUCAUUUGUGUGAACAAAGCCCUUAAACAUAAUGGGUAGGUACACAUUAUGUAUAAAUCAUUUGUGUGAACAAAGCCCUUAAACAUAAUGGGUAGGUACACAUUAUCGUAUAUCUAAUUCUUUCACAUUAUAUUCAGUUCAAAGUUUCUAAUAAAAGUAAGUAUCCAGCUAAUUAUUAAGAAGUAGAAAAUAUUAAGUCAAUCUGCAGGUCGUGGGUUCGAAUCUCCCAUCAUCAAACAUGCUCACCCUUUCAGCUGUGGGGCAUUAUAAUGUCAUGGUCAAUCUUACUAUUUGUUGGUAAAAAGAGUAGCCCAAGAAUUGGUGGUGGGUGGUAUUGACUAACUGCCUUCCCUAUAGUCUAUCACUGCUAUAUUAUGGACAUCUAAUGCAGGUAACUCUCGUGUAGCUUUGUGCAAAAUUCAAAACAAACCAAACCUUGUGAGUAAAGAGUCUUGUACCACCAAGAGAAAGAAUUACCCAUUCAAACUUUACCAAUUUAAAGUUUCAGAUAAAUAAAAUAUUAAAACUUGUCUUUUAGUUUUCAAUGUGUAUCUAAAAAUGAACCUGACACUGAAAGAGUUAUCUAUGAAUAUCACAGCAACAGUCAGAAGACUCGUAACUAA